CCAUACGACGAAAUCACCUUGAAUGUGACCCAUCUCAUCACAUCUCGGAAGCUAAGUAGGCUUGUGAGCCGGUUAGUCGGUGGGUGAGAGACUGCCUGGGAGUGCCAGGUGCUGUAUAUA
rnacentral:rRNA from 1 species